GCUGCUGUGGCUCAGUUGGUAGAGCGUCGCCUUGGUAAGGCGGAGGUCACGGGUUCGACUCCCGUCAGCAGCU
rnacentral:tRNA from 1 species